rnacentral:other from 1 species
AGAGUCCUAUGUUGUACGUCUAUACAAUACGUUUGAACCAACACUUAUACAACGGGAGUUCAACGUCUCGUUUUCUAUAACACGCCCUGCUGAAAGAGGCGGGGAAGUUAGAAGAAAUGAGCAGAGCACCCACCUGCCAAAGCAGGUUCAAAACAAGGAACGGCAAACACGGGACUCUU